GACAAGGUCAAAUUCCGAGGUGCCGCUUGUCAGAGCGGAGAAUUGGGAAGCCGGUGCAAUUCCGGCGCUGCCCCCGCAACGGUAAGGAUGGGGGAUGCCGCAAGAGACCACUGGGCCGUGAUAGCCUGGGAAGGCGCUGCAUCCAAAAAACCCGCCAAGUCCGGAAACCAGCCUUGGAGAAACGUCAAAC
rnacentral:ncRNA from 1 species